UCUUGAUUGAAUAACAACAGAUU
rnacentral:snRNA from 1 species